GCUGGUUUGGCUCAGUGGAUAGAGUGUCGGCCUGCAACUGAGGUUCACAGGUUCGAUUCCUGUCGAGAGCA
rnacentral:tRNA from 1 species